CCGGAGCCUGACAGUGAGAUGAUGAAAUUCUUUGUCAUACCGUUUUAGCGGGAGGUACGAGACGGGAAGCUACGCCUCUCCGUGGAAACACACACACACCCUCAGUCACACACACGGACGGACAAGUCGACACUUCUUUGGUUGUUUGAGGUCAGAGGGCAAAGGCAUCGCUGUGACUGAUGGGUCUCAUGUGUAAACUGGAAUUUUUCCACUCUUGGACCUUUCUAACAUGAGCCUGACGCGCAGUCACACACAUCUGGGCCGACACAUCGUCCACCGUUCAUACACACUGGCUCACACACACCUGAGGAGAAAUGGAAAGUUAAAACUUUGGAUUUACUCG